rnacentral:rRNA from 1 species
GUCUACGGCCACACCACCCUGAACGCACCCGAUCUCGUCUGAUCUCGGAAGCUAAGCAGGGUCGGAUCUGGUUAGUACUUGGAUGGGAGAUGCAAUGGUCUACCAAUCGAUGGAGGUG